CCGAGGAGCACCUGGAGUCUUACACUCAGCACUAUCAGAAGUUGCAUCCGGAUGUUCCUGUUCCUGAGGUAGCCCAGUCUCAGAUCGACGACACGGCGGUGGUGGCCAUCCAGGGGAAGUCACAUGGCCGGUAUCCGUGUUUUGAUGGCUUGAUAACUCCUUCGAUCUCAUACACACGGCUUCGGUCUACCAACCCGAGCCAGUUAGAGAGUACGGGGCGUUCACAGACUCCCUUAGCCCGCCAGCAUGCUGCAUAUAAGGCCUUUGUCGAGCAUAGGAAUCUCGAGGUGCGAGAGUACUUGCAACGAGUGAAGGCAAAUGAUGAUUACAACCGUCAGAUGAUGGCGGUUAGUUUUGCCCUCUUAAAACCAAGCUAAAUUUUUGCACUUUCAUUCCUUCUGACCUUCUAGUUUGCUUGUUUAACUAACAUCCAGGCUAUGUUGGCGUCUUGGAGUAACCGCAUGGAUCCACCACAAAUGGGACCCCCACCACCACCUGCGGGAGAACCCCCACACGUGCCCACGUUCGAUGAAUGGGUGGCACUAGGCAGUGAUGGUCCGGGGACCGGUGGCUCGACUACUGCUCCGUCGACCCCAGUCACUCCGAUCUGGCAGAGUGAUGGUGGUCGCGGUGGCGGUUUUGGCGGAGGUGGUCUUGGUGGUGGUGGUUUUGGCGGAGGUGGUCUUGGUGGUGGUUUUGGCGGAGGUGGUCUUGCUUGAUGUCGAUGAUGAUUCCGUGCAUGUGGCCGUCGUGCCAUGCCUUUCAUGUUGCUACUUUUAUGAUGUUCCAUGUCUUGCACUACUUUUAUGUUCAUGAACUUCCGCCGGUGAUGAUCUUUAGAUGAUGAUGAUGAACUUGACUAUGUUUAGAUGAUGAUGAUGAAC